UACGGAGGGGGCUAGCGUUGUUCGGAAUUACUGGGCGUAAAGCGCGCGUAGGCGGCUUUGUAAGUUAGAGGUGAAAGCCCGGAGCUCAACUCCGGAAUUGCCUUUAAGACUGCAUCGCUAGAAUCAUGGAGAGGUGAGUGGAAUUCCGAGUGUAGAGGUGAAAUUCGUAGAUAUUCGGAAGAACACCAGUGGCGAAGGCGGCUCACUGGCUCGGUACUGACGCUGAGGUGCGAAAGCGUGGGGAGCAAACAGG
rnacentral:rRNA from 1 species